AGUGAACGCUGGCGGUAGGCCUAACACAUGCAAGUCGAACGGCAGCACAGUAAGAGCUUGCUCUUACGGGUGGCGAGUCGCGGACGGGUGCGGAAUACAUCGGAAUCUACUUUUUCGUGGGGGAUAACGUAGGGAAACUUACGCUAAUACCGCAUACGACCUACGGGUGAAAGCAGGGGAUCUUCGGACCUUGCGCGAUUGAAUGAGCCGAUGUCGGAUUAGAUAGUUGGCGGGGUAACGGCCCACCAAGGCGACGAUCCGUAGCUGGUCUGAGAGGAUGAUCGGCGACACUGGAACUGAGACACGGUCCAGACUCCGACGGGAGGCAGCAGUGGGGAAUAUUGGACAAUGGGCGCAAGCCUGAUCCAGCCAUACCGCGUGGGUGAAGAAGGCCUUCGGGUUGUAAAGCCCUUUUGUUGGGAAAGAAAAACAGCAGGUUAAUACCCCGCUGUUCUGACGGUACCCAAAGAAUAAGCACCGGCUAACUUCGUG
rnacentral:rRNA from 1 species